AUUGAACGCUGGCGGCAGGCUUAACACAUGCAAGUCGAGCGAGCGGCGGACGGGUGAGUAAUGUUUGGGAAUCUGCCUGAUGGAGGGGGAUAACUACUGGAAACUGUAGCUAAUACCGCAUACCAUCAGAUGCGCCCAGGUGGGAUUAGCUAGUGGGGGGGGUAAGGGCCCACCAGGGCGACGAUCCCUAGCUGGUCUGAGAGGAUGACCAGCCACACAUGGACUGCGACACGGCCCGGACGCCUACGGGAGGCAGCAGUGGGGAAUAUUGCACAAUGGGCGCAACCCUGAUGCAGCCAUGCCGCGUGUAUGAAGAAGGCCGUCGGGUUGUAAAGUACUUUCGGCGGGGAGGCGUUACCCGCAGAAGAAGCACCGGCUAACUCCGUGCCAGCAGCCGCGGUAAUGC
rnacentral:rRNA from 1 species